GCAGCCGCGGUAAUACGGAGGGUGCAAGCGUUAAUCGGAAUUACUGGGCGUAAAGCGCACGCAGGCGGUUUGUUAAGUCAGAUGUGAAAUCCCCGGGCUCAACCUGGGAACUGCAUCUGAUACUGGCAAGCUUGAGUCUCGUAGAGGGGGGUAGAAUUCCAGGUGUAGCGGUGAAAUGCGUAGAGAUCUGGAGGAAUACCGGUGGCGAAGGCGGCCCCCUGGACGAAGACUGACGCUCAGGUGCGAAAGCGUGGGGAGCAAACAGGAUUAGAUACCCC
rnacentral:rRNA from 1 species